rnacentral:rRNA from 1 species
AUUGAACGCUGGCGGCAUGCUUUACACAUGCAAGUCGAACGGCAGCACGGACUUCGGUCUGGUGGCGAGUGGCGAACGGGUGAGUAAUACAUCGGAACGUGCCCAGUUGUGGGGGAUAACUACUCGAAAGAGUAGCUAAUACCGCAUGAGAACUGAGGUUGAAAGCAGGGGAUCGUAAGACCUUGCGCAACUGGAGCGGCCGAUGGCAGAUUAGGUAGUUGGUGGGAUAAAAGCUUACCAAGCCGACGAUCUGUAGCUGGUCUGAGAGGACGAGCAGCCACACUGGGACUGAGACACGGCCCAGAAUCCUACGGGAGGCAGCAGUGGGGAAUUGUUCGCAAUGGGCGCAAGCCUGACGACGCAACGCCGCGUGGGGGAUGAAGGUCCUCGGAUUGUAAACCCCUGUUGGGUGGGACGAACACCUUCGUGGUGAAUAUCCACGGAGGCUGACGGUACCACCUGAGGAAGCCCCGGCUAACUCUGUGCCAGCCGCCGCGGUAAUAC